rnacentral:rRNA from 1 species
GAUGAACGCUGGCGGCGUGCUUAACACAUGCAAGUCGAACGAUGAAGCCCAGCUUGCUGGGUGGAUUAGUUGCGAACGGGUGAGUAACACGUGAGUAACCUGCCCUUAACUCUGGGAUAAGCCUGGGAAACUGGGUCUAAUACCGGAUAGGAGCGUCCACCGCAUGGUGGGUGUUGGAAAGAUUUAUCGGUUUUGGAUGGACUCGCGGCCUAUCAGCUUGUUGGUGAGGUAAUGGCUCACCAAGGCGACGACGGGUAGCCGGCCUGAGAGGGUGACCGGCCACACUGGGACUGAGACACGGCCCAGACUCCUACGGGAGGCAGCAGUGGGGAAUAUUGCACAAUGGGCGCAAGCCUGAUGCAGCGACGCCGCGUGAGGGAUGACGGCCUUCGGGUUGUAAACCUAUUUCAGUAGGGAAGAAGCGAACGUGACGGUACCUGCAGAAGAAGCACCGGCUAACUACGUG